AUUGAACGCUGGCGGCAGGCCUAACACAUGCAAGUCGAACGGUAACAGAAAGCAGCUUGCUGCUUUGCUGCCGAGUGGCGGACGGGUGAGUAAUGUCUGGGAAACUGCCUGAUGGAGGGGGAUAACUACUGGAAACGGUAGCUAAUACCGCAUAACGUCGCAAGACCAAAGAGGGGGACCUUCGGGCCUCUUGCCAUCGGAUGUGCCCAGAUGGGAUUAGCUAGUAGGUGGGGUAAAGGCUCACCUAGGCGACGAUCCCUAGCUGGUCUGAGAGGAUGACCAGCCACACUGGAACUGAGACACGGUCCAGACUCCUACGGGAGGCAGCAGUGGGGAAUAUUGCACAAUGGGCGCAAGCCUGAUGCAGCCAUGCCGCGUGUAUGAAGAAGGCCUUCGGGUUGUAAAGUACUUUCAGCGGGGAGGAAGGGAGUAAAGUUAAUACCUUUGCUCAUUGACGUUACCCGCAGAAGAAGCACCGGCUAACUCCGUG
rnacentral:rRNA from 1 species